ensembl:misc_RNA 7SK 7SK RNA
CUGUGACAUCAGUGUCCCACUGAUUACUAGGGUUGAUUCAACUGAUUUGGCUGACUGGGCUGGGGUCU